AUUGAACGCUGGCGGCAUGCCUAACACAUGCAAGUCGAGCGGAGCGGCGGACGGGUGAGUAAUGCCUAGGAAUCUGCCUGGUAGUGGGGGAUAACGUCCGGAAACGUGCGCUAAUACCGCAUACUAUCAGAUGAGACUAGGUCGGAUUAGCUGGGUGGUGGGGUAAAGGCCUACCAAGGCGACGAUCCGUAACUGGUCUCAGCGGAUGAUCAGUCACACUGUGACUUGGACACGGUCCAGACUCCUACGGGAGGGAGCAGUGGGGAAUAUUGGACAAUGGGCGAAAGCCUGAUCCAGCCAUGCCGCGUGUGUGAAGAAGGUCUUCGGAUUGUAAAGCACUUUAAGUUGGGAGGCGUUACCAACAGAAUAAGCACCGGCGAACUUCGUGCCAGCAGCCGUGGUAAUUC
rnacentral:rRNA from 1 species